AACCUGCAAACCCUUAUUUGCUUUAGAGAUGCGUGAUGAAUGUUUCAAACAAGAAGUGGAAAAGUUCAACCAGUGGAGAAAAGCUCUUAUCAUGAUGGGUGUGUCUUUCUGGGUGGAAGUGGGAUCUCGCUUAUAUGGCAAAAGGGUAUAGCUUUUUUGUUGUUCUAAGAUGAUUAAUUAGAUCUGCUCUUAUACAUCGAUAAGGAAUAAUUUUCCUUUUCGAUCCAAGCAUGAUAUAGUCCACUUGACAGUAAAUAAUUGGCGUUGAAUUGUAUUUUUGAUACUGAAAAUCUUGUUUGAGCAUGUUCAAAUUGAUGAUUUGCUUUUGUGUAUGCAUAGGGAUGAAUCAAAGUUUAUCGAAGAUGUGUUGAAUAAAUUGGAUUGCAAAUGCUUUCAUGUUUCCAAGCACAUGAUAGGUGUUGAUUGCGGUUUGUUACUAGAAAUUGCUACAACAGAAGUUCACGUUGUGGGCAUAUAUGGAAUGGAAG
rnacentral:lncRNA from 1 species